UACGUAGGUGGCAAGCGUUGUCCGGAUUUAUUGGGUUUAAAGGGUGCGUAGGCGGCUUAUUAAGUCAGUGGUGAAAGACGGUAGCUUAACUAUCGAGGUGCCAUUGAUACUGAUGAGCUUGAGUACUGAUGAGGUAGGCGGAAUGGACGGUGUAGCGGUGAAAUGCAUAGAUAUCGUCGAGAACACCGAUAGCGAAGGCAGCUUACUAAGGAGUAACUGACGCUGGGGCGCGAAAGGGUGGGGAUCAAACAGG
rnacentral:rRNA from 1 species